rnacentral:SRP_RNA from 1 species
GCCAGGUGUGGUGCUGCGCCCCUGUAGUCCCAGCUACUCGGGAGGCUGAGGUGGGAGGAUGGCUUGAGCCCAGGAAGUGGGGGUUGCAGUGAGCUAAGAUUGUGCCACUGCACUCCAGCCUGGGCAACAGAGCAAGACUCCGUCUCAA